UACGGAGGGGGCUAGCGUUGUUCGGAAUUACUGGGCGUAAAGCGCACGUAGGCGGCUUUGCAAGUUAGAGGUGAAAGCCCGGGGCUCAACUCCGGAAUUGCCUUUAAAACUGCAUCGCUAGAAUUGUGGAGAGGUAAGUGGAAGUUCCGAGUGUAGAGGUGAAAUUCGUAGAUAUUGGAAGAACACCAGUGGCGAAGGCGACUUACUGGACACAUAUUGACGCUGAGGUGCGAAAGCGUGGGGAGCAAACAGGG
rnacentral:rRNA from 1 species